rnacentral:rRNA from 1 species
UGGCGAUCGAAAAGAUUAAGCAUGCAUGUCUAUGUACACACCUUUAAACGGUGAAAUCGCGAAUGGCUCAUUAAAUCAGCUUUGGUUCCUUGGAUCGUGCAUACUACAUGGAUAACUGUAGUAAUUCUAGAGCUAAUACAUGCCACUAUGCCCUGACCCGCAAGGGGAUGGGUGGAUUUAUUAGAACAGAACCAACCGGUAGUGAUUCAUUGCUGCCGUUGUAAUCUGUGAUGACUCUGGAUAACUUUACUGAUCGCAGUUGGCCUUGUGCCGGCGACGGAUCCUUCAAAUAUCUGCCCUAUCAAUUUUCGAUGGUAGGUGACCUGCCUACCAUGGUUAUAACGGGUAACGGGGAAUCAGGGUUCGAUUCCGGAGAGGGAGCCUGAGAAACGGCUACCACUUCCAAGGAAGGCAGCAGGCGCGCAAAUUACCCAAUCCCGGCACGGGGAGGUAGUGACGAAAAAUACGGAUACAGGACUCAUACGAGGCUCUGUAAUUCGAAUGAGUACAAUUUAAAUCCUUUAACGAGGAUCAACUGGAGGGCAAGUCUGGUGCCAGCAGCCGCGGUAACUCCAGCUCCAGAAGCGUAUAUUAAAGUUGUUGCGGUUAAAAAGCUCGUAGUUGGAUCUGGGUCGCAUGGCCGCGUACCGUUGCUUUUGGCCUUCGGGUCAUUGCUUUCCGGUUUCGUGGCUGUGUGGUCUUUCUGCCGUAUCUGUUUCGACAGGUGUCAAUUGGUUUGUGCUUUUUGGCAUGCUUCCAGAUGCCUUUAAACGGGUGUCGGGGGCGGACGGCACGUUUACUUUGAACAAAUUUGAGUGCUCAAAGCAGGCUUAUGCCUGAAAAUUCUUGCAUGGAAUAAUGGAAUAGGACUUCGGUUCUAUUUUGUUGGUUUUCGGAUCCGAAGUAAUGGUUAAGAGGGACAGACGGGGGCAUUUGUAUGGCGGUGUUAGAGGUGAAAUUCUUGGAUCGCCGCCAGACAGACUACAGCGAAAGCAUUUGCCAAGGAUGUUUUCAUUGAUCAUGAGCGAAAGUCAGAGGUUCGAAGACGAUCAGAUACCGUCCUAGUUCUGACCAUAAACGAUGCCAACUGACAAUCCGUGGGCGUUCUUUAAGUGGCCCCACGGGCAGUCCCCGGGAAACCUUUAAGUCUUUGGGCUCCGGGGGAAGUAUGGUUGCAAAGCUGAAACUUAAAGGAAUUGACGGAAGGGCACCACCAGGAGUGGAGCCUGCGGCUUAAUUCGACUCAACACGGGAAAACUCACCCGGCCCGGACACUGUGAGGAUUGACAGAUUGAGAGCUCUUUCUUGAUUCGGUGGAUGGUGGUGCAUGGCCGUUCUUAGUUGGUGGAGCGAUUUGUCUGGUUAAUUCCGAUAACGA